GGCAUCUAUUAGUCUAGUGGUUUAGACGCUGGUUUCGGUACCAGUUGGCGCUGGGUUCGAUCCCCGGUGGUGUCA